rnacentral:rRNA from 1 species
CAGUAGCCGCGGUAAUACGAAGGGUGCAAGCGUUAAUCGGAAUUACUGGGCGUAAAGCGCACGCAGGCGGUUUGUUAAGUCAGAUGUGAAAUCCCCGAGCUUAACUUGGGAACUGCAUUUGAAACUGGCAAGCUAGAGUCUUGUAGAGGGGGGUAGAAUUCCAGGUGUAGCGGUGAAAUGCGUAGAGAUCUGGAGGAAUACCGGUGGCGAAGGCGGCCCCCUGGACAAAGACUGACGCUCAGGUGCGAAAGCGUGGGGAGCAAACAGGAUUAGAUACCCGGGUAGUCCCUGUCUCUUAUAC